rnacentral:rRNA from 1 species
CCCUUAGAUGUUCUGGGUGGCCCGCGCACUACAAUGGCGCUUUCAGCGAGUUCCUAUGUUGAAUUUUCCUGGGUAUUCUUGGAAGCGGCGUCUUGACUUGGGAUAGAUCCUUGUAAUUGUUGGUUUUGAACGAGGAAUUCCUUGUAAUCGCGGUUGAUCAGCUCGCGUUGAAUACGUCCCUGCCCUUUGUACACACCGCCCGUCGCUCCUACCGAUGGGUGAUCCGGUGAAUGAUUCGGACUUCAGCGGCUCCCCUGGGGUGCGCCGGAGAAAGUUUUGUGAACCUUAUCACUUGGAGGAAGGAGAAGUCGUAACA